rnacentral:rRNA from 1 species
GACGUAGGAUGCGAGCGUUGUCCGGAUUUAUUGGGCGUAAAGAGCGUGUAGGCGGCCAGGUAGGUCUGCUGUGAAAACUCGAGGCUUAACCUCGAGCUGUCGGCGGAAACCAUCUGGCUAGAGUCCGGAAGAGGAGAAUGGAAUUCCCGGUGUAGCGGUGAAAUGCGCAGAUAUCGGGAAGAACACCCGUGGCGAAGGCGGUUCUCUGGGACGGUACUGACGCUGAGACGCGAAAGCGUGGGGAGCGAACAGG